UACGGAGGGUGCGAGCGUUAAUCGGAUUAACUGGGCGUAAAGCGCACGUAGGCGGGUUUUUAAGUGGAAUGUGAAAUCCCCGGGCUUAACCUGGGAAUAGCAUUUGAUACUGGGGGACUAGAGUACUGUAGGGAGGGGUGGAAGUCCACGUGUAGCGGUGAAAUGCGUAGAUAUGUGGAAGAACACCGAUGGCGAAGGCAGCCCCUUGGGCAUGUACUGACGCUCAUGUGCGAAAGCGUGGGGAGCAAACAGG
rnacentral:rRNA from 1 species